AUUGAACGCUGGCGGCAGGCCUAACACAUGCAAGUCGAACGAGUGGCGGACGGGUGAGUAAUGUCUGGGAAACUGCCUGAUGGAGGGGGAUAACUACUGGAAACGGUAGCUAAUACCGCAUACCAUCGGAUGUGCCCAGAUGGGAUUAGCUAGUGGGUGGGGUAUCGGCUCACCUAGGCGACGAGCCCUAGCGGGUCUGAAAGGAUGACGAGCCACACUGGACCUGAGACACGGUCCAGACUCCGACGGGAGGCAGCAGUGGGGAAUAUUGCACAAUGGGGGCAAGCCGGAUGCAGCCAUGCCGCGUGUAUGAAGAAGGCCUUCGGGUUGUAAAGUACUUUCAGCGGGGAGGCGUUACCCGCAGAAGAAGCACCGGCUAACUCCGUGCCAGCAGCCGCGGUAAUAC
rnacentral:rRNA from 1 species